UGAUUCUGAUUACUUUUCUCAUUAUGUUAGGAUUGCCUGCUUAGUCUCCUCCACAGUUAUAUUUUCUACCUUGGUAACCAGUUUAUUCUAAAUGCCACAUUUUCCAAAUUAUCAUCAUUUACCCGCAUGCACCCUUGCUCUUUGACAGCAUCUCAGCUAGAUUAAGAUGGUUAUGCCUCAGUAACCUCACUCAUAUGAACAUUUAUUUUAUUUUAUUUAUUUACACAUGGAUUCUCUUUUCAGUUUGACACAGUCCCGGACACAACUAAUGCCUCAAGCAGUGUCACUCUUAAAGGAUUCACAUUGCAUACGGAGGGGGUGACAGAAAACAAGAUUGUGUCAGGCAGUGUUUCUGAUGACCGCAAUACCAUGUUUGCCCUCCAUGGGCCUUGCCAGCUGAGUCAUGCCCACUCCCAGAAUUCCCUGCACCGCAGUGUCAGCCAGCUCAUUGACGCACAGGACAGGAAGUUUCUGAUGGAGGAUGGGAUAUGGAGCUCUGUUGUGCGGGGUCAUGAUAGUGGCCUGUUUAUGGAUGAUGAGGAGUUUGUGGACACAAUCAAAGGGUUCAGCACAGUGAGAAAGGAGCACACCAUGUUUACAGAUACAAAUCUGUAACUGUUGUAACCCCUCAGCCUUCUUUGUACAUUUGAGGUGAUACAGACCUGGUUUGUGAGAUGACCAUUACAAUGUCCAUGAAACUAUCUGGAUCUAAGUCAUCCUGUUUAAUUCAACGAUUGCUUGUUCAGUAUCAUGGACUAUCUUUUAGAUAUGGUAUUGAAACUGGCUUUCUGAUGGCUGUUAUGAAGUCUCAUGAAACAAAAAGACACAAUUAAGCUUUGUGGUUGAUGAAAAUGCUAUGUUUGUUACAAAAAGGCAACUAAGCCUAGUGGCUUUGCAGGGAAUGUAUGUUGAAAUACCAUCAGAGCAGAACAUUAGUCCUAGAAAGGACAGCACAGUAUUGUAUAUUGUAACUGAAACUUGCUUGAACAGACAUAAUCAAUAAAUCUAUGUAUAAGAAA